AAAAUUAGAGUGUUCAAAGCAGGCAGAUCCAAUUUUCUGCCACCGAAUACAUUAGCAUGGGAUAAUGGAAUAGGACCCUGUCCUCCUAUUUUCAGUUGGUUUUGGCAGCGCGAGGACUAGGGUAAUGAUUAAUAGGGAUAGUUGGGGGCAUUAAUAUUUAAUUGUCAGAGGUGAAAUUCUUGGAUUUAUGAAAGAUUAACUUCUGCGAAAGCAUCUGCCAAGGAUGUUUUCAUUAAUCAAGAACGAAAGUUAGGGGAUCGAAGACGAUCAGAUACCGUCGUAGUCUUAACCAUAAACGAUGCCGACCAGCGAUUAGGAGACGUUGAAUACAAAACACCACCAUCGGCGCGGUCGUCCCUGGCUCGUCGUCUCACGACGGCGGGCGGGGGCGGUUAGCCCGAUGGCACCGGUGAA
rnacentral:rRNA from 1 species